UGAAAAAUAAUUUUCUCAUUGUUCGAGUUUUCUGUCUGCCUCUGAAAUUCUGUUUCCCCUCUUCACACAAACCCUAGACCCUUGCUUUCCUGUUUGGUUUGAUCGUUUGAUUUUUGUUUUAAUGGGUGUUUCAUCAGAUUUUUGUUUCUAGGGUGAAGCCAGCUCUCAAAUUUCGAUCCGAUCUUCAAUUUCGUAGGUUCUCCACUUCAAAACUAUCAAUUAAAGCUUCAUUGAUCUUGGGGUUCUGGAUAAUUUCUAUUUAAUCGUUGCAGAAGAAAUAUCAUAUGGUACAAUCAUUCAAAGGGAAUCAAAUUUUGAUUUUAGGUUUCUCUAUAAAAAGAAUUAUAUUUUUCCGCCUAAAUCUUCGUUACUUAGACUUCCCAAUAUCGAUUUCAGAAUUAUAAAAGAUUGGGUAUUCAGUUGAAGAGGUAACACCUGAUGAAAUUUAGGAGGCAGAGUUUAAUCACAUAGACGAUGAAGAGGAAAUAAAUAACCCUUGAAUUUAUGAGAAUUAUGGAAGCUUGACGCAAAUUUUUUCUGGACUCACAUGGGUUUUAUGGAGAACACAAUCUUUGACCAGCAAACCUGCUAGAUUGUUCUACAGUUUUGGAAUGUUUCUAUGGAGAACAACUGUGAAACGUAGGAGGCAAAGUUGAGCAUCUUAGGAGCACUGAUCUUAGGAGCACUGCAUUAGCUGAUACAUUAUCCAGAUGAAUGAUCUAUAAUUAUAAAUUUAUGACGGACAAUGGAGCGAGUAGACACAGCUCAUUAGCGUCUUCAUUCCAGAAUGAGCAUUAUAUUUGCGUAAGAAUUAGCAAGAUGUAGGAUCAGAAUCUCGCAGCAAUAAUAUUUCAGCGAAAUUAUCAACAACACAA